rnacentral:rRNA from 1 species
AUUAGCGGAGGAAAAGAAACCAACAGGGAUUGCCUCAGUAACGGCGAGUGAAGCGGCAACAGCUCAAAUUUGAAAUCUGACUUCGGUCCGAGUUGUAAUUUGUAGAGGAAGUCUCGGGUGCGAUACCGGUCUAAGUUCCUUGGAACAGGACGUCAUAGAGGGUGAGAAUCCCGUAUGCGACUGGUGGUCAACCCCAUGUGAGGCCCCUUCGACGAGUCGAGUUGUUUGGGAAUGCAGCUCAAAAUGGGUGGUAAAUUUCAUCUAAAGCUAAAUACCGGCCAGAGACCGAUAGCGCACAAGUAGAGUGAUCGAAAGAUGAAAAGCACUUUGGAAAGAGAGUUAAAAAGUACGUGAAAUUGUUGAAAGGGAAGCGCUUGCAACCAGACUUGCUCGCGGGUGAUCCACCGUCCCUCGGGGCGGUCUACUCUCCCGUGAUCAGGCCAACAUCGGUUUCGGUGGCUGGAUACAGGCUCCGGGAAUGUGGCUCCCUCCGGGGAGUGUUAUAGCCCGGGGUGCAAUGCAGCCCGCCGGGACCGAGGACCGCGCUUCGGCUAGGAUGUUGGCGUAAUGGUUGUCAGCGACCCGUCUUGAAACACGGACCAAGGAGUCUAACAUCUAUGCGAGUGUUUGGGUGUCAAACCCAUACGCGUAAUGAAAGUGAACGGAGGUGGGAACCCCUUCCGGGGCGCACCAUCGACCGAUCCUGAUGUCUUCGGAUGGAUUUGAGUAUGAGCAUAGCUGUUGGGACCCGAAAGAUGGUGAACUAUGCCUGAAUAGGGUGAAGCCAGAGGAAACUCUGGUGGAGGCUCGCAGCGGUUCUGACGUGCAAAUCGAUCGUCAAAUUUGGGUAUAGGGGCGAAAGACUAAUCGAACCAUCUAGUAGCUGGACCUG